UGUUUUCCUUCUAGUCAUUUUGCUCAGUGCAGAGUGGCCAAAAGCAAGUUGUAUUGGGAAAAAGAGAAAAAGAGAGGAGAGAAAGAAGGAAAGAAAAGAGAAAGAGAAAAAAAAGGGAAGAAAAAGAAAAAAAAAACGAAAAAAAAAAAGAAGAAGAAAAAGAGAAAGAAAAAGAAAGGAGAAAAAAAGGGGGUGGGGGAAGGAAACAAAUCAAAAAGCAAAACAAAACAAAAACAAAAACAAAAACAAACAAACAAAAAAAGAACUACCGGGGAGUAUCUUCUGAUUCUGUGUACUUUAAGUCCCUUGGCUUCUCCUGGAACUUGUCCGUCUAGCUGGUGUUCUGGGGGAGGGGCCUGCUGUGCUGAUUUUCAGGUGUUAGCAGUUGGGGGAGCUGCUGUGCCCCUGCCUGGUGCAGGGCUCAGUGGGGGUUGUUUACCCCGUGAGGCCGCAGGAGGAACAGCCCCAGUGGCGGGGCAGCUCUGGAAACCUGGAUUCAGCUCCGGCAGGAACUCCGUCUGCAGGGCCUGGAGGCUCCGGGGCGGGGCCGCUGAUCUGCUCAGCUGGGGCAGGAGCGUCCUCGCUGUCCUGGGCCCUCCCGGCCUCUGCCUGUCCCGGGGGAGGCGGGAUCCUGGGCUGUGUCCCGGCGCCCUGUGCUCCGGAGCCUGCGCUGUUGGAUUCGCGCUCCCGGGCCGCGCAGCCCCCUCGCCGGAGCCGCUGCCCCGGCCCCUUCAGCUGCUCCGGGUCCCGCCGGGUCCCGCCGUGCGCGCUGCAGCCCUUAGGGAGCUCGGCGCACUCUCCUGGGUGCGCAGUUGCUGUUACUGUCCCCGGGAGCCCGAGGGCAUCCUCGCCCUCCUGGUUCCUGCUCCAACCCCCUGCGAGCCCCUUUCCGCCCGGGAAGGUCGGUGCAGCUCCUGCGUCUCCGGGACGGGGCUCUCCUGUCCUGGGGACACUCGCCCCGGCCUCGGCCCGGCUCCUCGCGGGGCCCCUCCCCCUUGGAGGCUUUUGUUCCUUUAUUUCUUUUUCCCCGUCUUCCUACCUUGA
rnacentral:lncRNA from 12 species